GCUCCCCCCAGCAGAAUGUCAGCUCCUUGAGGGAUGGGAUCUUGUCUCAUUCUCUGCUGCAUCCUCAGCAGGGGGUAGGGUGCCUGGGACAUUGAGGUAUUCACCAACAGCUGUCAGGUCACCUGCCUGUCUCCUUGGAAAGUUAGCUCCAUGCAGGUUCAGCCUGGGCUGCCCUGCCUACCAUUGCCUCCCCAGUGCCCUCAUGGUGUACUCCAUGGAAGGUACCAGAGCUUAGAGCAAAGCCUAGCGCACAGGGCAUGCGAUGGUGAAUGAAUGGAUGAACAAACAAGAGCAUCAAUUUUGGGAUUAGACUGCCUGGGUUCACAUCCUCACCAGCUCUGACCCUUGGGCAAAUUAUUUAACCUAUCUGGGCCUCAGUUUCCUCAUCGAUAAAAUGGGGAUGAUCGUAGUGCCUACCUCAUGGGGUGGUUAUGUGGAUUAAAUGGUUUCAGGGAGUAUUCAAUAUCUGCAAGUGUGUAACAUACGAAUAUCACGUGAGAUUUUUGGGCAUAACUGAGCAAAUCCCAGCUCUUGAUGGGGUCUCAGGAGCAGUGGUGCAAAGAGCAGUGGGAACGGUAUUCCUGGCGGAGGGAACAGCAUCCACAGGAUGUUUUGGAGGGGGUCGGGUAAGAGGGGAUGUUUUGGGGGGGCAGGUAAGAGGGGAUGUUUUGGGGGGGAGUAAGAGGGGAGGGGAGAGAGAUGGACUGGCAGUGCCAGGGAGUGGCCGUCGGGCUGAACAUCCACAGAAACCAGACACGAAGAGGAGGCAAGCCAGGCCAGGGGGAAGCAUAAAGAGGAAGUGAACCAAAGCAGGGAGCGAGGACUGGUUUCACAAGACACUCAGUGUGAGGCUUCGAGAAGGCCAUGGAGAAGGUCAGCCUUGAAAAAGCUGGAACUUGGCUUUGCUGUUCAAUGUCUCCUGGUGCAUGGAAGAGUGCCUGGCAAGAGUCUGUGCUCAUAAAUAUUGAUUGAACAAAAGAAGGAAUGCUAACUAUGACUAUUAUUACCACUAUUGCUUGGCAAAAGCUAGAGGAAGAGAGAUUGAGGAUAGGGUUGAUGUAAUUAUGUCUAAUAAGAAAAAAACAACAACAAACAGUGGCCUGCUCCUGCCUGGCUUCCGUCAAAGACCAAAGACCAGUGGGCUUUCUGUCCUCCGGGCUCUGUCUUCCUGCUGCCACGGUUACCACGGUCCGUGGACUCCAGAAGAAAGGCCAGGCCAGGCUGACUCUGUGGUUCUGCCCAGCUUCCUUGGGUAGCCCAGGGCCUGGUAGAGAAAGAUCCCAUCCAAAAACAGCUGGCCUCCCCGAUCUUAUCUCCAUGGUGCCCAGAUGGAGGGAGAAGGGAGGUACUUGCUGUUCUUCCAGAAAAUACGGUCCAGACUCACUCUGCAUUUGUGGAGGACCUGCUCAUGCUCUGGGCAACUCAAAGACGUGCGGAUCGUGGUCCCUACCCUCCAGGAGGUUUCUGGCAGCAAGGAGGGGCCAGAGACAAGCACUGACUUAGCUGUGUAUAAAAAUAGCAAGGGCUUGCACAUGACAGGGAAAAGUCAGGUGCGGAGGAGCAGGAAGAGCUCUCUCACCCAUACCUGCCCCAGCCUCACAGUCCACUCGCCCUGAUGCACGCCUUCCUGGCUGAGGCGGCUGGGCUCCCAUGUCUCCACCGGGUGCCAUCCCAAACUCCCAGAGGCCUGGGGCUGAGCCGCUCCCUCCACAAACCCAGGUCUCAACCAGUGGCUGGCAGAGAUUAGAGGGCUAGCCCAGACCUCACCGCUGGUGGCUGGUCUGGCAGAGCUUCAGAAGGGUGCAGAAAGGACACUAACUUGGCAAUAGCAUCCUGGGAUCAUCUUUCUCACCUCUCUGCUCCUUCAGUUGACAAUCCAACUCUGCUCUCCAUUGCAGAGAACAGACUCCGGACCCCCAGAGAGACUAUGAACUGACCACUGCAGCCCAAGGAGCACCUGCAGGGUUUAGGGGUCCAGGGCUGAGGCCUAGGACCAUCACCAUGGCAGUCACUGUCAUCUCCAUGACUACAAUCAUCACCUCCAUGACCAACCACCAUCACCUCCAUCAUCACCACUGUCAUGAGGGAAAUUGUGUCCUCCCAAAAAAUAGGUUCGGCCAGGCAUCAUGGCUCAUGCCUAUAAUCCCAGCACUUUGGGAGGUUGAGGUGGGUGGCUCACCUGAGGUCAGGAGUUCCAGACCAGGCUGGCCAAAAUGGUGAAACCCCGUCUCUACUGAAAAUACAAAAAAUUAGCCGGGCGUGGUGACGGGCGCCUGUAAUCCCAGCUACUUGAGAGGCUGAGGCAUGAGAAUUGCUUGUAUCCGGGAGGCGGCGGUUGCAGUGAGCCGAGAUCACGUCAUUGCACUCCAGCCUGGGCAACAAGAGCAAAACUCCGUCUCAAAAAAAAUAAAUAAAUAAAAGACAAAAAUGUUAGGUUCAAGUCCUAA